AACUGUUGCGGACGGGGAGUUCGGGACGUUUACUUUGAACAAAUUAGAGUGUUCCAAGCAGGCCGUUUGCUUUGAAUACAUUAGCAUGGAAUAAUGGAAUAGGGCUGCGUGGCCUGUCGUCUGACGGCGGGUCCUCGUGUCCUAUUUUGUUGGUUUUCGGGACCGCAGUCAUGGUCAAGAGGGACAGUUGGGGGCAUUCGUAUUCAGUUGUCAGAGGUGAAAUUCUUGGAUUUACGGAAGACGAACAACUGCGAAAGCAUUUGCCAAGGAUGUUUUCAUUAAUCAAGAACGAAAGUUGGGGGUUCGAAGACGAUCAGAUACCGUCGUAGUCCCAACCAUAAACCAUGCCGGCUAGGGAUCGGCGGACGUCGGUAGCGACUCCGUCGGCACCUCUCGAGAAAUCCAAGCCUUGGUCCG
rnacentral:rRNA from 1 species